GGAGCUCUCCNNUAUGGUCGACCUGCAGGCGGCCGCGAAUUCACUAGUGAUUAGAGUUUGAUCCUGGCUCAGGAUGAACGCUAGCUACAGGCUUAACACAUGCAAGUCGAGGGGCAGCAUGAACUUAGCUUGCUAAGUUUGAUGGCGACCGGCGCACGGGUGAGUAACACGUAUCCAACCUGCCGAUGACUCGGGGAUAGCCUUUCGAAAGAAAGAUUAAUACCCGAUGGCAUAGUUCUUCCGCAUGGUGGAACUAUUAAAGAAUUUCGGUCAUCGAUGGGGAUGCGUUCCAUUAGGUUGUUGGCGGGGUAACGGCCCACCAAGCCUUCGAUGGAUAGGGGUUCUGAGAGGAAGGUCCCCCACAUUGGUACUGAGACACGGACCAAACUCCUACGGGAGGCAGCAGUGAGGAAUAUUGGUCAAUGGGCGUAAGCCUGAACCAGCCAAGUCGCGUGAGGGAUGAAGGUUCUAUGGAUCGUAAACCUCUUUUAUAAGGGAAUAAAGUGUGGGACGUGUCCUAUUUUGUAUGUACCUUAUGAAUAAGGAUCGGCUAACUACGUGCCAGCAGCCGCGGUAAUACGUAGGGGGCAAGCGUUAUCCGGAUUUACUGGGUGUAAAGGGAGCGUANACGGCGAAGCAAGUCUGGAGUGAAAACCCUGGGCUCAACCCUGGGACUGCUUUGGAAACUGUUUUGCUANAGUGUCGGAGAGGUAAGUGGAAUUCCUAGUGUANCGGUGAAAUGCGUANAUNUUANGAGGAACACCAGUGGCGAAGGCGGCUUACUGGACGAUAACUGGACNUUGAGGCUCGAAAA
rnacentral:rRNA from 1 species